rnacentral:lncRNA from 1 species
UGACAAGAAUGACAGCACAACCACAGCAAUUACCAAUUUAGAGAGUUACACUCAACGCAGCAAGAUGUUCACACUAGGAGAAGCCAAACAAGAGUACAGAAGAUUCAAGUCUGCCAUCUCAUGCUAAACCUGGAGCAUAUCCUUUGAAUGGAAUGGAGAACAGAGGCACUGGCAUCCCGCUUCUUUUGGAAGUUCGAGCCCAGUUGGGUCUUUGUCUUCUGAGGAUCAUGAUUUUGACCCCACU